UACGUAGGGGGCAAGCGUUGUCCGGAAUCAUUGGGCGUAAAGAGCGUGUAGGCGGCCAAGCAGGUCCGUUGUGAAAACUGGAGGCUUAACCUCCAGACGUCGACGGAAACCGCGCGGCUAGAGUCCGGAAGAGGAGGAGUGGAAUUCCUGGUGUAGCGGUGGAAAUGACGCAGAUAUCAGGAAGAACACCAAUGGCGAAGGCAGCUCUCUGGGACGGUACUGACGCGAGACGCGAAAGCGUGGGGAGCGAACAGG
rnacentral:rRNA from 1 species